rnacentral:rRNA from 1 species
UGGGGAAUCUUGCGCAAUGGGCGAAAGCCUGACGCAGCCAUGCCGCGUGAAUGAUGAAGGUCUUAGGAUUGUAAAGUUCUUUAGCCUGUGACGAUGAUGACGGUAACAGGAGAAUAAGCCCCGGCUAACUUCGUG